GAUGAACGCUAGCGGCAGGCCUAACACAUGCAAGUCGAGGGAGGAGCUUUCGGGCUUCGACCGGCGUACGGGUGCGUAACGCGUAUACAAUCUGCCUUUCACAUAGGGAUAGCCCGAAGAAAUUUGGAUUAAUACCUAAUGGUAUAUAGAGGUGGCAUCACCUUUAUAUUAAAGCUGAGGCGGUGAAAGAUGGGUAUGCGUUCUAUUAGCUAGUUGGAGAGGUAACGGCUCCCCAAGGCGACGAUAGAUAGGGGUUCUGAGAGGGAUAUCCCCCACACUGGUACUGAGAUACGGACCAGACUCCUACGGGAGGCAGCAGUGAGGAAUAUUGGACAAUGGUCGGAAGACUGAUCCAGCCAUGCCGCGUGCAGGAAGACGGCCUUAUGGGUUGUAAACUGCUUUUGCAGGGGAAGAAUAAGGACUACGCGUAGUUUGAUGACGGUACUCUGCGAAUAAGCAUCGGCUAACUCCGUG
rnacentral:rRNA from 1 species